GCGUUUGUACGCGGAGGACAUUACCGAGUUUACAACUCCCAAACCCAAUGUGAACCAUACCAAACUGUUGCCUCGGCGGGGUCACGCCCCGGGUGCGUCGCAGCCCCGGAACCAGGCGCCCGCCGGAGGGACCAACCAAACUCUUUCUGUAGUCCCCUCGCGGACGUUAUUUCUUACAGCUCUGAGCAAAAAUUCAAAAUGAAUCAAAACUUUCAACAACGGAUCUCUUGGUUCUGGCAUCGAUGAAGAACGCAGCGAAAUGCGAUAAGUAAUGUGAAUUGCAGAAUUCAGUGAAUCAUCGAAUCUUUGAACGCACAUUGCGCCCGCCAGUAUUCUGGCGGGCAUGCCUGUCCGAGCGUCAUUUCAACCCUCGAACCCCUCCGGGGGGUCGGCGUUGGGGAUCGGGAACCCCUAAGACGGGAUCCCGGCCCCGAAAUACAGUGGCGGUCUCGCCGCAGCCUCUCCUGCGCAGUAGUUUGCACAACUCGCACCGGGAGCGCGGCGCGUCCACGUCCGUAAAACACCCAACUUUCUGAAAUGUUGACCUCGGAUCAGGUAGGAAUACCCGCUGAACUUAAGCAUAUCA
rnacentral:rRNA from 1 species